rnacentral:rRNA from 1 species
UGCAAGUCGAACGAUGAAGCCCAGCUUGCUGGGUGGAUUAGUGGCGAACGGGUGAGUAACACGUGAGUAACCUGCCCCUGACUCUGGGAUAAGCCCGGGAAACUGGGUCUAAUACCGGAUAUGACUUUUGACCGCAUGGUUGAGGGUGGAAAGAUUUAUCGGUUGGGGAUGGACUCGCGGCCUAUCAGCUUGUUGGUGAGGUAAUGGCUCACCAAGGCGACGACGGGUAGCCGGCCUGAGAGGGUGACCGGCCACACUGGGACUGAGACACGGCCCAGACUCCUACGGGAGGCAGCAGUGGGGAAUAUUGCACAAUGGGCGCAAGCCUGAUGCAGCGACGCCGCGUGAGGGAUGACGGCCUUCGGGUUGUAAACCUCUUUCAGUAGGGAAGAAGCGAAAGUGACGGUACCUGCAGAAGAAGCGCCGGCUAACUACGUGCCAGCAGCCGCGGUAAUACGUAGGGCGCAAGCGUUAUCCGGAUUUAUUGGGCGUAAAGAGCUCGUAGGCGGUUUGUCGCGUCUAUCGUGAAAGUCCGAGGCUCAACCUCGGAUCUGCGGUGGGUACGGGCAGACUAGAGUGAUGUAGGGGAGACUGGAAUUCCUGGUGUAGCGGUGAAAUGCGCAGAUAUCAGGAGGAACACCGAUGGCGAAGGCAAGUCUCUGGGCUUUUGACUGACACUGAGGAGCGAAAGCAUGGGGAGCGAACAGGAUUAGAUACCCUGGUAGUCCAUG